GAUCAUGGCUCAGAUUGAACGCUGGCGGCAUGCCUUACACAUGCAAGUCGAACGGUAACGCGGGGGCAACCUGGCGACGAGUGGCGAACGGGUGAGUAACGCAUCGGAACGUGCCCAAUAGUGGGGGAUAGCCCGGCGAAAGCCGGAUUAAUACCGCAUAAGACCUGAGGGUGAAAGCGGGGGACCGCAAGGCCUCGCGCGAGAAGAUGAGCCGAUGUCCGAUUAGCUAGUUGGUGAGGUAAAGGCUCACCAAGGCGACGAUCGGUAGCUGGUCUGAGAGGAUGAUCAGCCACACUGGAACUGAGACACGGUCCAGACUCCUACGGGAGGCAGCAGUGGGGAAUUUUGGACAAUGGACGCAAGUCUGAUCCAGCCAUUCCGCGUGCAGGAUGAAGGCCCUCGGGUUGUAAACUGCUUUUGUACGGAACGAAAAGGUUUCUAUUAAUACUAGGAGCUCAUGACGGUACCGUAAGAAUAAGCACCGGCUAACUACGUG
rnacentral:rRNA from 1 species